rnacentral:rRNA from 1 species
GCACUUUCUUUUGAUUCUUCGGAUGAAGAAGACUGUGACUGAGUGGCGGACGGGUGAGUAACGCGUGGGUAACCUGCCCCAUACAGGGGGAUAACAGUUAGAAAUGACUGCUAAUACCGCAUAAGCGCACAGCUUCGCAUGAAGGUGUGUGAAAAACUCCGGUGGUAUGGGAUGGACCCGCGUCUGAUUAGGUAGUUGGUGGGGUAACGGCCUACCAAGCCGACGAUCAGUAGCCGGCCUGAGAGGGUGGACGGCCACAUUGGGACUGAGACACGGCCCAAACUCCUACGGGAGGCAGCAGUGGGGAAUAUUGCACAAUGGGGGAAACCCUGAUGCAGCGACGCCGCGUGAAGGAAGAAGUAUUUCGGUAUGUAAACUUCUAUCAGCAGGGAAGAAAAUGACGGUACCUGACUAAGAAGCCCCGGCUAACUACGUGCCAGCAGCCGCGGUAAUACGUAGGGGGCAAGCGUUAUCCGGAUUUACUGGGUGUAAAGGGAGCGUAGACGGAUGUGCAAGCCAGAUGUGAAAACCCGGGGCUCAACCGCGGGACUGCAUUUGGAACUGUGCAUCUAGAGUGCUGGAGAGGUAAGUGGAAUUCCUAGUGUAGCGGUGAAAUGCGUAGAUAUUAGGAGGAACACCAGUGGCGAAGGCGGCUUACUGGACAGUAACUGACGUUGAGGCUCGAAAGCGUGGGGAGCAAACAGG